rnacentral:rRNA from 1 species
AACGAACGCUGGCGGCAUGCCUAACACAUGCAAGUCGAACGAGCUCUUCGGAGCUAGUGGCGCACGGGUGCGUAACGCGUGGGAAUCUGCCCUUAGGUUCGGAAUAACUCAGGGAGACUUGAGCUAAUACCGGAUGAUGUCUUCGGACCAAAGAUUUAUCGCCUAAGGAUGAGCCCGCGUCGGAUUAGCUAGUUGGUGAGGUAAAAGCUCACCAAGGCGACGAUCCGUAGCUGGUCUGAGAGGAUGAUCAGCCACACUGGGACUGAGACACGGCCCAGUCUCCUACGGGAGGCAGCAGUGGGGAAUAUUGGACAAUGGGCGAAAGCCUGAUCCAGCAAUGCCGCGUGAGUGAUGAAGGCCUUAGGGUUGUAAAGCUCUUUUACCCGGGAUGAUAAUGACAGUACCGGGAGAGUAAGCCCCGGCUAACUCCGUGCCAGCCGCCGCGGUAACAC